UCUACCGUAACGAUGACAACCAGCGAUUAGUCGGUGUUAAUAUACGACCCGACUAGCAGCUUCCGGGAAACCAAAGUCUUUCGUUUCCGGGGGAAGUAUGGUUGCAAAGCUGAAACUUAAAGGAAUUGACGGAAGGGCACCACCAGGAGUGGAGCCUGCGGCUUAAUUUGACUCAACACGGGAAAGCUUACCCGGCCCGGACACUGUAAGGAUUGACAGAUUGAGAGCUCUUUCUUGAUUCGGUGGGUGGUGGUGCAUGGCCGUUCUUAGUUGGUGGAGCGAUUUGUCUGGUUAAUUCCGAUAACGAACGAGACUCUAGCCUGCUAAAUAGCCAACUGAUCCGCAGCGUCGGUUGCUUAUAAUGCUUCUUAGAGGGACAGGCGGCUUCCAGUCGCACGAGAUUGAGCAAUAUCAGGUCUGUGAUGCCCUUAGAUGUCCGGGGCCGCACGCGCGCUACACUGAAGGGAUCAACGUGCUUUCUUACCUUGGCCGGAAUGGCCUGGGGAAUCCGAUGACACCCCUUCGUGAUUG
rnacentral:rRNA from 1 species